rnacentral:rRNA from 1 species
AUAGAUCCUGAAACCGUAUGCUUACAAAAAGUAGGAGCCCGCAAGGGUGACUGCGUACCUUUUGUAUAAUGGGUCAGCGACUUACAUUCAGUGGCAAGGUUAACCGAAUAGGGAAGCCGUAGAGAAAUCGAGUCCGAAUAGGGCGAAUUAGUCGCUGGGUGUAGACCCGAAACCAAGUGAUCUAUCCAUGGCCAGGAUGAAGGUGCCGUAACAGGUACUGGAGGUCCGAACCGACUAAUGUUGCAAAAUUAGCGGAUGAGCUGUGGAUAGGGGUGAAAGGCUAAACAAACUUGGAAAUAGCUGGUUCUCUCCGAAAACUAUUUAGGUAGUGCCUCAAGUAUUACCUGCGGGGGUAGAGCACUGUUUUGGCUAGGGGGUCAUGGCGACUUACCAAACCAAUGCAAACUCCGAAUACCGCAGAGUACAGCUUGGGAGACAGAGCACCGGGUGCUAACGUCCGGACUCAAGAGGGAAACAACCCAGACCGCCAGCUAAGGUCCCUAAAAUUGGCUAAGUGGGAAACGAAGUGGGAAGGCUAAAACAGUCAGGAUGUUGGCUUAGAAGCAGCCAUCAUUUAAAGAAAGCGUAAUAGCUCACUGAUCGAGUCGUCCUGCGCGGAAGAUGUAACGGGGCUAAGCCAGUUACCGAAGCUGCGGAUUUGCAAUUUAUUGCAAGUGGUAGGAGAGCGUUCUGUAAGCCUGUGAAGGUGUGUUGUAAAGCAUGCUGGAGGUAUCAGAAGUGCGAAUGCUGACAUGAGUAGCGUUAAAGGGGGUGAAAAGCCCCCUCGCCGUAAGCGCAAGGUUUUCUACGCAACGUUCAUCGGCGUAGAGUAAGUCGGCCCCUAAGGCGAGGCAGAGAUGCGUAGUUGAUGGGAAACAGGUAAAUAUUCCUGUACCGAUGUGUAGUGCGAUGUGGGGACGGAGAAGGUUAGCUCAGCAGACUGUUGGAUAUGUCUGUUCAAGCCUGUAGUCGUGCCUGGUAGGUAAAUCCGCCGGGCUUAGAUGAGGGGUGAUAACGAGGAUGCUUGCAUCCGAAGUGAGUGAUACCCUGCUUCCAGGAAAAGCCACUAAGCUUCAGCUACACACGACCGUACCGCAAACCGACACUGGUGCGCGAGAUGAGUAUUCUAAGGCGCUUGAGAGAACUCAGGAGAAGGAACUCGGCAAAUUGACACCGUAACUUCGGAAGAAGGUGUGCCUUUAGUAUGUGAACCUGUACAAGGGGAGCAGAAUGAGGCCUCAGAGAAUCGGUGGCUGCGACUGUUUAAUAAAAACACAGCACUCUGCAAACACGAAAGUGGACGUAUAGGGUGUGACGCCUGCCCGGUGCUGGAAGAUUAAAUGAUGGGGUGCAAGCUCUUGAUUGAAGUCCCAGUAAACGGCGGCCGUAACUAUAACGGUCCUAAGGUAGCGAAAUUCCUUGUCGGGUAAGUUCCGACCUGCACGAAUGGCGUAACGAUGGCCACACUGUCUCCUCCUGAGACUCAGCGAAGUUGAAAUGUUUGUGAUGAUGCAAUCUCCCCGCGGAAAGACGGAAAGACCCCAUGAACCUUUACUGUAGCUUUGUAUUGGAUUUUGAACGGAUCUGUGUAGGAUAGGUGGGAGGCUUUGAAGCUGGGACGCUAGUCUCGGUGGAGCCGACGUUGAAAUACCACCCUGGUGCGUUUGAGGUUCUAACCUAGGUCCAUUAUCUGGAUCGGGGACAGUGCAUGGUAGGCAGUUUGACUGGGGCGGUCUCCUCCCAAAGCGUAACGGAGGAGUUCGAAGGUACGCUAGUUACGGUCGGACAUCGUGAUAAUAGUGCAAUGGCAUAAGCGUGCUUAACUGCGAGACUGACAAGUCGAGCAGAUACGAAAGUAGGACAUAGUGAUCCGGUGGUUCUGUAUGGAAGGGCCAUCGCUCAACGGAUAAAAGGUACUCUGGGGAUAACAGGCUGAUACCGCCCAAGAGUUCAUAUCGACGGCGGUGUUUGGCACCUCGAUGUCGGCUCAUCUCAUCCUGGGGCUGUAGCCGGUCCCAAGGGUAUGGCUGUUCGCCAUUUAAAGAGGUACGUGAGCUGGGUUUAAAACGUCGUGAGACAGUUUGGUCCCUAUCUUCCGUGGGCGCUG